rnacentral:misc_RNA from 1 species
UCCGUAGGUGAACCUGCGGAAGGAUCAUUACCGAGUAUCGGAGCCUUCGGGUUCCUACUCCCACCCCAUGUUGACUUUGAAUGUUGCUUUGGUGGACCGGUGGUCUCACCGCUGGCCUAGGCUGGAGAGCGUCCGCCAGAGGAUUUUGAACUCUGUUUAACGGUGAAUUCUGAGUCUUGAUAAAUUGAAUCAAAACUUUCAACAACGGAUCUCUUGGUUCUGGCAUCGAUGAAGAACGCAGCGAAAUGCGAUAAGUAAUGUGAAUUGCAGAAUUCAGUGAAUCAUCGAAUCUUUGAACGCACAUUGCGCCCUUUGGUAUUCCGAGGGGCACGCCUGUUCGAGCGUCAUUUAAACCAUCAAGCCCUGCUUGGUCUUGGACGCGGUCGAGUGACCCGUCCGUAACCCGUUGGCGGUGCAGUCCGGCUUCAAGCGUAGCAAGAAUUUCGCUUCAGGAGUCCGCGGCGGCGUCUGCCAGGAAACACCACCCAAAGUUUGACCUCGGAUCAGGUGAGGAUACCCGCUGAACUU